UGCUGAACUUUGUUUCCCAGAGCCAGAUAC
rnacentral:piRNA from 1 species